UCAAAUUCAAAUGGUUUCAAAAAACAAUUUAUCAAGCUUUCUGUGAUUUUAUUGAAGUUAACAACAUGCAUUAUUCAGGCAAUAACGCAAAUGCUUAAGGGAAUGGCGGAUAUGCUUAAUUCUUUGUAUAAGAAAGUGUUGUCAGCCAUUUUGCGCUCUGAUUUCGGCGUAAUGCUGAUAAGGAUGUUAAUUGAUAAAUUUGGUACAGCGGCAGUAAGGUUUGCUUGGUACGACUCAAAGCAAGUCAGUGAACAUGUUCUAGAUGGUUAUACAAAGCCUUUGAGGGCUAAGGGAUGGG
rnacentral:misc_RNA from 1 species